rnacentral:rRNA from 1 species
GUUAGGAAUAUUGGACAAUGGGCGCAAGCCUGAUCCAGCCAUGCCGCGUGAGUGAUGAAGGCCUUCGGGUUGUAAAGCUCUUUAGCCGAUGAUUAUAAUGACUGUAGUCGGAAAAUAAGCCCCGGCUAACUUCGUGCCAGCAGCCGCGGUAAUACGAAGGGGGCGAGCGUUAUUCGGAAUCACUGGGCGUAAAGCGUGCGUAGGCGGCUUUGCAAGUUGGGAGUGAAAGCCCAGGGCUCAACCCUGGAAUUGCUCUCAAAACUGCAAGGCUCGAAUUCGGGAGAGGAUAGCGGAAUUGUCAGUGUAGCAGUGAAAUGCGUAGAUAUUGACAGGAACACCAGUGGCGUAAGCGGCUAUCUGGACCGAUAUUGACGCUGAGGCACGAAAGCGUGGGGAUCAAACAGGAUUAGAAACCCGAGUAGACC